GAUGAACGCUGGCGGCGUGCCUAACACAUGCAAGUCGAACGAACAGACGAUGAUCUUGCUCCUUUGACGUUAGCGGCGGACGGGUGUGUAACACGUGUAUCAUCUACUUAUAAUACGGGUAUAACUUCGGGACUGCGGCUCUUAUACCAGAGGAUAUAUUGAACCACAUGGUUCAAUAGUGAGAGACGGCUUUGCUGUCACUUAUAGCUGGAUCCGCGCCGGAUUAGCUAGUUGUUAAGGUAACGGCCUACCAAGGCUACGAUGCGUAGCCGACGUGAGAGGCUGAUAGCCGACACGAGAACGGAGCCACGGACAAGACGCCUACGGGAGGCAGCAGUCGGGAAUCUUCGGCAAUGGGCGAAAGUCUGACGGAGCAACGGCGAGUGAGUGAUGACGGUCUUCGGAUCGUAAAGCUCUGUUAUUAGGGAAGAACAGAUGUGGCAGUAGAUAUGGACGUAUUGACGGUAACUAAUAAAAAAGCAACGGCUAACUACGUG
rnacentral:rRNA from 1 species